rnacentral:misc_RNA from 1 species
UUCCGACCAGAGAUGGAAGGAAUGCUUUUAUUAGAUCAAAACCAAUCGGUGGCGGGCUUGCCUUGCAACCGUUUGACUUGGUGACUCUGAAUAACUUUGUGCUGAUCGCACGGUCUCGUACCGGCGACGCAUCUUUCAAAUGUCUGCCUUAUCAACUGUCGAUGGUAGUUUCUGCGACUACCAUGGUUGUUACGGGUAACGGGGAAUCAGGGUUCGAUUCCGGAGAGGGAGCCUGAGAAACGGCUACCACAUCCAAGGAAGGCAGCAGGCGCGCAAAUUACCCACUCCCGGCACGGGGAGGUAGUGACGAAAAAUAACGAUACGGGACUCAUCCGAGGCCCCGUAAUCGGAAUGAGUACACUUUAAAUCCUUUAACGAGGAUCUAUUAGAGGGCCAGUCUGGUGCCAGCAGCCGCGGUAAUUCCAGCUCUAAUAGCGUAUAUUAAAGUUGUUGCGGUUAAAAAGCUCGUAGUUGAAUCUGUGUCCCACACUGUCGGUUCACCGCUCGCGGUGUUCAACUGGCAUGUCUGUGGGACGUCCUACCGGUGGGCUUAGCCCGUCAAAAGGCGGCCCAACUCAAAAUCCUACCACGGUGCUCUUCACCGAGUGUCGAGGUGGGCCGGUACGUUUACUUUGAACAAAUUAGAGUGCUUAAAGCAGGCUCAUUUGCCUGAAUAUUGUGUGCAUGGAAUAAUGGAAUAGGACCUCGGUUCUAUUUUGUUGGUUUUCGGAAUUCCGAGGUAAUGAUUAAUAGGGACAACUGGGGGCAUUCGUAUUGCGACGUUAGAGGUGAAAUUCUUGGAUCGUCGCAAGACGGACAGAAGCGAAAGCAUUUGCCAAAUGUGUUUUCAUCAAUCAAGAACGAAAGUUAGAGGUUCGAAGGCGAUCAGAUACCGCCCUAGUUCUAACCAUAAACGAUGCCAGCUAGCGAUCCGCCGAAGUUCCUCCGAUGACUCGGCGGGCAGCUUCCGGGAAACCAAAGCUUUUGGGUUCCGGGGGAAGUAUGGUUGCAAAGCUGAAACUUAAAGGAAUUGACGGAAGGGCACCACCAGGAGUGGAGCCUGCGGCUUAAUUUGACUCAACACGG